UCAACUUACUUGGUUUAUAUGUACACUCCAUCAAGUGAAGAGAGAAUUAAUACUCUAUGUGGCUUUCAACUGUGUUAUGCCACUCUGCUAAAGGUUACUGCAGUAACAGCUCACUCAGACAUUGGCUGGUUGCUAGUAUAAGUCUCAUUUCAAUCCAGGUCAGAGUACAUUCAUCAUUAGCCUUUUUAAAGAAAUGUUUCACUUGUUUGUUACGUUCUGUUUGUGUGGGUGGCAUCUGAUUGGUGUGUUUGGUGAAUCAGUGUCAGUGAUGGAGGGAGAUUCUGUCACUCUAAACACUGAUCUUACUGAAAUACAUGAAGAUGAUUACAUAUUAUGGAAAUUUGAUACUGAAAAGUCUCUCAUUGCUAAAAUUAAAACAAACAAGCAACUGUUGCCCACAUUUGAUGGUCCUGAUGGGAGAUUCAGAGACAGACUGAAGCUGGAUAAUCAAACUGGAUCUCUGACCAUCAUUAACAUCACAACUCAACAUGCUGGAUUCUAUGAAGUUCAGAUCAGUGGAGCAAAAAUUACAUCAAAAACAUUCAGCGUUUCUGUCUAUGCUCGUCUGCCUGUUCUUGUCAUCAGCAGAAACUCUUCAAAAUGUUUAUCAUCAUCAUCAUCAUCAUCAUCAUCAUCAAAGCAGAAUUGUUCAUUGGUGUGUUCAGUGUUCAAUGUGAGUCAUGUGACUCUCUCCUGGUACAAAGGAAACAGUUUAUUGUCCAGCAUCAGUGUGUCUGAUCUCAGCAUCAGUCUCUCUCUACCUCUGGAGGUGGAAUAUCACGAUAACAGCACUUACAGCUGUAUGAUCAACAAUUCAUUCACUAAACAGACUCAACAUCUAGACAUCAACAAACUCUGUGGGCCAUGUUCAGAACUGUCCAUUACAGAUCAAGGUCUACCUGUAUUGUACAUAGUGUUGCUUUCUGCUGCUGCUGGAUCUCUGUUGAUUGUAGCUGCAGCCAUGAUCUUCUGCAUAUGCAAAAAAUGUAGACAAACAGGUCAGUACAGAAAGCAGUCAUAUCCUAUGUUGAAAUAUUUAGCUUUUUAAGGCACACUUUUUUGUAUAAUAUUAAACCCUUUGUUGCUUUAACACAUCUGUGAUUAUUGUUAAUGUAGCAGAGACCAGAACUGAUUCAGCACUUUGUAAACCAACUGCACGAAAAAUGAAAUCAAUGCCAGAACCUGUGUAUUCAAAUGUCGCCAAAAAACGCUGAUCAAAUAUCGUAUCUACUGGAUUAAAUGUUCCGCUCAUAAGGACUCUGACGCUGAUUUACAUACAUUUCUGUCUCUCUUUUUUGCCUUUUUUGACAUUUUUUCCCCUUUUUUGUACUGCAUUGUUUGUUUGUAUCUUAUUUAAAUAAAAUAAAUAUCGAAUACAUAGAUGUGUACAUUAUUACACACAUGUGAUAUGCAAAUGAUUGCUUAGCGUGUAAAGCAAAAAAUGUCCUUUGCAAUAAAAGCGCUACAUGUACCCGAUAGGGUGCGCUAUAAAUAAAUGCUGAUGUUCUCAAACUGCUGAAG